rnacentral:lncRNA from 1 species
UAUUUAUUCCUACGUGAGCAGACCCACUACACUUCUUGCAUAUAAACAGUGAAAAUUACAAUAUGAAGGACUUAUUAUUCCUUCUUUUGGAGUAAUUUUGCUGCUGGUCAAAGCCUGGCUCAUUGUGCAAGGAAGGGGGACCAUCCUCUGCAGGUGCUCCUCGCCUGCUUGCAGAUAUCAGACCCCAGCUCAUCUCAGACCUCAGCCCCUGAGGCCAAGCAAACAUACAUCAUCAUGGAGGCUGCAGACGUAGCUCACCGUGCCCACAUGUGAACUUCGGCCAACACACCACAACAGGGACUCUGCCCACUGAAUCCCCUGUGAUUCCUCAAUCCUGUCCUGGUCAUACCCCACUGGGUUUUGUGAGGCUAUUUAGGAAGAUAAGUUUCCCUCACUGAAGAAAAGAGAGACAGCAUGAAAGAAAACAAUGGCCCCAAAGGAGGAAUUUGUGAUUGACAUAAAUGGGAAUGUUCCCUUGGGAGCAUCAUGUAUCAUCAAACAAGCAAACCUCCAGGUCAUUUAUUUCUCCACCUGUUUACCUGCUAUGGAAAGAAGAUGCAUUUAAGUUUCCUGCAGUUUCACCCUGGAAAUUAAU